GGUGAACGCAGACGACAAAGAGAGCCAUCUGUUGACAGUCAUAUAUUGCAACUGUCAUGGAAUUGCUCUCUUUACAUGCCUGUGUUCUAAG